UCUUUGCCACUGUUUGAGGUCACGGGAUUGGAGAAGAAGAUCAAGAAGGUUUUGCUAGGGUAUUUGAUUGGGUACUUGAUUUGGGGGCAUUCGUUGGGUGCUCAGCAGGUAUGGAUGUUUUCUAUGAAGCUGGAAUCGUGAGCAGUGUUAACAAGAACUGUUAUAUUGAGGACUUUGACACGAGACGAGUAUCUCGGAGUCGGUAUUGGACCUUUCUUUUAUCGGAGG